rnacentral:lncRNA from 1 species
AAAUGAAGAUUAAACAUAAAUUACAGCUGUAAAACAAGGUAAUCAGAAAUGUGAACAUGACAGUAUUAGGACAGCCGUGUGCCUUAAUCUGAUGCCUACAGGUAUGCAUACCUAUUGGUAUACAUACUGUGAGAACUACUACAUGAUCACAUACUGUGUUUUUCCAUCGAGUCCCUAUUCUGUUUAUUGAAUGGCAUGGACAGAGAUUGCUGAAUGAGACAGGUGAUCAAUUUUCAUUUAUUUAUGUAUUUUUAACCUUGUUUUCUUAAGAAAUGAUCUUCCUGUUAUUGUCUGCUGCCCACUUUUCUCUCUAAUGCCUUUAAGUCUAGUGGACUCACCAUGCUCCUCACAAUGCUGUCCCAGCAGCAGGCAGACACCAGACAAGGAAUUUUUAUAGCAUCAUGGACUUUCUUCUGGCAAAUGAGCACCUCACAAGUACUAAAAAGCUGUUCUGGUUUUGGUCCUUUGGAAUACAGAGAAAACCAGCUUGAACCCCAAAAUGGCUGUUUUGCACCUGUCUUCUGCCUCAUCCUGCUGUCGCUUGCAGGUUGCCAGGGAGCCUGGGGGACCCACCAUCUGACAUCCAUAGCACUCGGCUUCUAUCCGAAUAUGUCUGAGAAUCCCACUGAAGCGUGGGAUGACAAGUUCCCUCUUUCUUUUUGCAGAAUUACUUCUCAUCCACAAUUAAGGUAAUAAACUGUUUCUGCCAACCUGUUAUUGUGUUAGCAUUCGGAUCACUAUCAGUCACUGCAGAAUUAUAAAAAUGGACCAGAAAUACUUUUUCAAGGACAUCUCCUAAGUGACUUUGUUUUACGUUUACCUUGGAGACCAUGAAAUCUGAAAAGCCUUAGUGACUUAAGUCACAGUGAUGGUACAGCACAAACAGAAGUUACUUGGGCUUUCCUUCCUUGCCCCUAUAUUCUGCUUCAAUUUUGAUGUAGAAAGAUGACACCCAGCUGUGGGAGAAUAAUUCAUUGCACAAUCUGGUCCUUAACCUGACUACUAAGAUCGAGAACAAGGGUGUCAAUUUGUGCCAGCUGUUACUCUGUUGGGGAGAUGUGGGCCAUUUACCAUGACGUAGACCAGGACCACAGCUUAUUUUAAAAAGGUCAUUAAGCACUCAUCAGAAUAGCAAUAAUUCCAGUCAUUCCUGAAUUGGGACAGAUUCAGGCCUAAUUUAAUAGAACAGACUCUACUAAGGGUACUGAAGGUAAACUCUGGGCAAAGAGCGAUAUCAGAAAGGAAACAUGAAAACCAGUGCAGGGACAAAGAAACUUAAUAAACCCGUUAAUUAUUUUUAUUAAAAACA